AGUGAACGCUGGCGGCAGGCCUAACACAUGCAAGUCGAGCGGCAGCGCGGGGGCAACCCUGGCGGCGAGCGGCGGACGGGUGAGGAAUUCGUCGGAAUCUGCCUUUUUGUGGGGGAUAACGUAGGGAAACUUACGCUAAUACCGCAUACGUCCUACGGGAGAAAGUGGGGGACCGCAAGGCCUCACGCAGAAAGAUGAGCCGACGACCGAUUAGCUAGUUGGUGGGGUAAAGGCCCACCAAGGCGACGAUCGGUAGCUGGUCUGAGAGGAUGAUCAGCCACACUGGGACUGAGACACGGCCCAGACUCCUACGGGAGGCAGCAGUGGGGAAUAUUGGACAAUGGGCGCAAGCCUGAUCCUGCCAUGCCGCGUGUGUGAAGAAGGCCUUCGGGUUGUAAAGCACUUUUGUCCGGAAAGAAAUCCCUGGAGCUAAUACCUUCGGGGGAUGACGGUACCGGAAGAAUAAGCACCGGCUAACUUCGUG
rnacentral:rRNA from 1 species